rnacentral:rRNA from 1 species
UACGAAGGGGGCUGGCGUUGUUCGGAAUUACUGGGCGUAAAGGGCGCGUAGGCGGUGUGUCAAGUCAGGCGUGAAAGCCCCGGGCUCAACCUGGGAACCGCGCUUGAGACUGGCACGCUAGAGUUCGGGAGAGGAUGGUGGAAUUCCCAGUGUAGAGGUGAAAUUCGUAGAUAUUGGGAAGAACACCGAUGGCGAAGGCAGCCAUCUGGACCGACACUGACGCUGAGGCGCGAAAGCGUGGGGAGCAAACGGG